UAGAAAAUGAAGAGCUAUCGAAGAUUUUUGGACUGAUGAUAGUGUCACAGGAAGCCUACUCUAAGAAGAUUAAUCUGACAGUGGCAUCCAGCAUGAACUGAUAUGGAGAAAGAUGAGAAAAUGUUGGAAGAGAGAAUGGGGAGAGCCUCUACUCCGGUUGAGUAAUGAAUUUGCCUCCUUUCCGAUAUAAGGUUCUAUGUGGUCUCCAUUUCACUCAAUGGUCACACCGUCUAUCAAGGGUGUGAUAAGUAGGCGUCCUAGGAUUCAAUAUUUCACUUUCGUUCAUCUACUUCAUCCAAAAUCCAUCAAGAGGUCCUGAAACAUGGAGGAAAGGAAUAAAAGAGAGGAAAAGGAAAUGAAUUUCAAUAUGAAGAAUGAUUUUGAGACUGAGUCAGCAUCAUCUAAUUUUGCUCUUCAAAGUUCUUCGGAGACAUUGUUUUCUAUUCAGCUGUUAGAUUUCAAAACAAAUUUACUUGAAGCAUUAGAAGAAUUACGUAUGAGGAGGGUAAGUUCCUUUUUAAAAUGCUUUUUUCAAUCAGAGAACUUGAUUUUGUCCAGUUUU
rnacentral:lncRNA from 1 species